AUCAAUCAUAUCACCAGUAUAAAAAUAACAUCAACAAAGUAAAUAGGCAAGCACAAAAGAACAAGGAAUUUAUACGGAAGACACGAUCAAAGGCUGCUCAAGUAUAGUCAUAAUCUUAAGAAAAUACUGAAAGAAUACGUGGGAUAUGCUAACGGUUUAAUGCAAUAGAACAUCGGAUUAUUUCAUAUUUUCUUGUAACCUUCAUAACGUAAAAAUGUCGCGCGUAAUAACUUGGACUGUGGGAGUUUUCCUUCUAGCAGUUAUUGUCACAACAACUGCGGAGAAAAAACAAGAUGAAAAACCUGCGUUUAAAUUGACAACUGUUCCUUGGGCGGCUGCUUUGGUUUGCGCUGCUGUACUGGGAGUCAUCAUCUUUUGUUUCUGUACUAAGAUCAUUAGUUUAGUUUUGAUUGCUAUUAUUAUAGCAAUUUGUGGUGGCUUAACUUAUCUCUAUCUCAAAUGAUUUUGAUAAAACCUGAGGGCCUACCGGGAACUACGAUGGAUGUGUUGCCUAUCUGUCGCACUUGUAAAUUUGUUUGUAGGUGUGAAGGGGAGGCAACAUGUUGAAUGUGGUUCGUGGUAGGCCCUCUGUUCAAAUAGUUGCUUAAAUGUUAAUAUAUGUCGAUCUGCAUCUUGGGUAGUGAAAUCUAAUUUAAAUUAUGCAUGGAUCCACAUUCUGCCAUACUAAGCAUUGAUUCAGUGGUUGUGUGUAAAUAAGGCAGUAUAAGGGUUGAUUCAAAAGUUUCAUAACAGCUGACAUAGAUUAAGUAUGUAUUAUACUAAUCUGUCAAUAUUUUCUUAAACAUGUGUGUCAGCUUAUACAAAGCAAUAUAUAGGCUUGCGUUUUGUAAAUCAAUUGGAUUGUGGCCUAAUUUUGACCUUAAAGUGUAAUAUUUAAAGGAUAACUUGGAUAUGCUAAACACAAAUUAUAACUUGACCUUUUGCAUGCCUUGUUCUGUAUCCGUCCCAGCUACUUGGACUUUGAAUAUCAUAAGAUUUAUAAUGUUGUUACAACAGUUUUUUUUGCAAUGCAUUUCGGUAAAUUAAUUAAUUACUGACUUUAGUUAUUUCAAGGUAAUGUCAUUUUGUAUUGAAUAUUUAAUUCGCAAUAUUUCAUUAGUAGACAACUCAUGGUGAUUAGAUAUUUUCAUGUUUAAGUUAAAGGCUGAGAUUUGUACAAUUAAUUUUUACUAUUUCUUUUACCAUAAACAAUAAUUAAACAUAAGUUAACAGUGUCAUAAACAGAUUCAACAAUGUCAAUAUUUAGCAUUUGAUUACACAGUUGUAGCUAUUUUAAACUUGGUCUUAUAAUAAGUUGUCUUCUUUGAGGGUAUCUAAUAUCUUAUUCCUACAUUAAAUACUUAUGUAUAUGUCAAAAACCCUGUUAAAUGCAAAACAUAAUUUUUAAAACCUCAUCUUGUUAAAUCAUAAGAAAGAAGAUCUUUAAAAACUACCCCAAUGCACCUGAUAAACUAAUUAGUUGAUUACUUAUAUUUACAUCAAUUGUUUAUACAUAUCAAUUGUUUUAGUUUUUGGAAGCUAUUUAUUUAUGUAUUAGAUGGUAUUAGGUAAUAAGUUGAUAGUGAAAAUUUUGAAAAAUUUAUAACCUUGAAUAUUUAUUAAUAGCUAAGUACAUAAAAUCUAUUAAAUAUUUUAAUAUUUGUAUUUACUAAUGACUGAAUCUUACAUAGGUAGGUAUUGAAAAUCGAUAUAUUUAUUAAUAAAUGCUGCAUAAUUUACUAAAUAGGAACCUGCUAAUAUUUCGAAUAUAAGUUGAAUCUCUUCUUUGAGUAUAUUUUUUGUGAUAACACUGAGUACAGUGAGAAUACAUUUAUGUUACCAUAGAAAAAUAUAAGUGAAGAAAGAGUGGAAACUCCAUACAUCUGUUUUCUUACCAAAACGCGAGUUAUUGCGUAGUUGUCAUCUAGCAUCAAGUAGCGGAAUUUAUCAGUACUGCUAGUUGACAAUAGAUGUCGCGACGAACGAAAACUCUAAUGCUCAAUAAGUUUUAGCUAAUAUUAUAACCGGAACUCUAUUUUCAAUUCCUGCUUAUAAUAUUAGUUGUAAAUUGUUUUAGCAGCAGGUACAUUUUUAUCAGCAGAACACUUGUGACAUCUGCAGUCAAGUAGCGGUAGGUACUGAUAAUUCCACUACUUGACGUUAGAUGUCGUUGUCGACUACCAUACCACACUUUCUUUACUUAUAUUUCUAUAUGAUGUUGCUUGUAUUUGAUUGUAGUAGAUGUAUUAUGCAUUGCGUGCAUAUGAUUUAAGAAACAAUAACUGUUGAGUUUAUUCAAUUAUAAUUAUGUUGAUUCAUUAGGUUAAAUAAGUGGAUUAUUAAAGCACAAUACUAAUAACGUAGUUAGGUAUUUAUUUUCUUUACAAAUGGUUAAGGGGAUAAUAAAAUUGAAGAUGAAUAAUUAGAUAAUUACUGUAUCCAUAUUUGAUAAUUAUACAUUCUUUUAUUUAUAAAUAUUAGGGUUUUACACCCUGGCUAUAAUAAUUGUAUUUUAGGUAAGGCAAACUGAAACGCACACUUUUACUAAAAUAAUAAUAAACGGUUUGGUGAUAUCUUUCGAAA